ACCGGCGAACGGGUGAGUAACACGUGGAAAUCUACCCAUUAGUGGGGAAUAGCUCGGAGAAAUUCGAAUUAAUGCCGCAUACUCCUUACGAGGGAAAGUGGGCUUUUGCUCACGCUAAUAGAUGAGUCCGCGGAAGAUUAGCUUGUUGGUGAGGUAAAGGCUCACCAAGGCGAUGAUCUUUAGCUGGUCUGAGAGGACGAUCAGCCACACUGGAACUGAGACACGGACCAGACUCCUACGGGAGGCAGCAGUAAGGAAUAUUGGACAAUGGGCGCAAGCCUGAUCCAGCCAUGCCAUGUGUGUGAAGAAGGCUUUAGGGUUGUAAAGCACUUUCAGUAGGGAAGAAACAUUAUAGGUUAAUACCCUAUAGUUUUGACGUUACCUACAAAAGAAGCACCGACAAACUCCGUGCCAGCAGUCGCGGUAAUACGGAGGGUGCAAGCGUUAAUCGGAAUUACUGGGCUUAAAGAGUAUGUAGGUGGUGUAUUAAGUUGGAUGUGAAAGCCCUAGGCUUAACCUACGAACUGCAUUCUGAACUAUUACACUAGAGGAUAAUAGAGGGUGAUGGAAUUUCCUGUGU
rnacentral:rRNA from 1 species